rnacentral:tRNA from 1 species
AUUAAGAUGGCAGAGCACGGUACUGCAAAAGACCUAAGCCCUUUAUACGAAAGUUCAAAUCUUUCUCUUAAUU